UUGAGCAGGUGUUAUUGGUUGAGGUGUAGAUGCUGGUGUUGUUGAUUCAAAUGUUGAUUCAGAGUUUGGUGAGUGAGAUGUAGAUGUUGUUUGAGAUGUAGAUGUUUCUGUAGUCGAUAUAGAUGCAGGUUCAGUGGUUGUUGUUGAUUCAGAUGUAGAUGUUUUUGUAGUUGA